rnacentral:rRNA from 1 species
GCAAGUCGAACGAAGUAGCAAUACUUAGUGGCAGACGGGUGAGUAACAUGUAGGUAUCUGCCCUUUGGCCUGGAAUAACACGAGGAAACUUGUGCUAAUACCGGAUAAGUCUUUACGGAGAAAGCUUUAUGCACCAUUGGAUGAGCCUGCACUUGAUUAGUUUGUUGGUGGGGUAAUGGCCUACCAAGACUGUGAUCAAUAGCUGAUUUGAGAGGAUGAUCAGCCACAUUGGGACUGAGACACGGCCCAAACUCCUACGGGAGGCAGCAGUGGGGAAUCUUGCACAAUGGAGGAAACUCUGAUGCAGCGAUGCCGCGUGAGUGAAGAAGGCCUUUGGGUUGUAAAGCUCUUUCGUCGGGGAAGAAAAUGACUGUACCCGAAUAAGAAGGUCCGGCUAACUUCGUGCCAGCAGCCGCGGUAAUACGAAGGGACCUAGCGUAGUUCGGAAUUACUGGGCUUAAAGAGUUCGUAGGUGGUUGAAAAAGUUGGUGGUGAAAUCCCAGAGCUUAACUCUGGAACUGCCAUCAAAACUUUUCAGCUAGAGUUUGAUAGAGGAAAGCAGAAUUUCUAGUGUAGAGGUGAGAUUCGUAGAUAUUAGAAAGAAUACCAAUUGCGAAGGCAGCUUUCUGGAUCAUUACUGACACUGAGGAACGAAAGCAUGGGUAGCGAAGAGGAUUAGAUACCCUCGUAGUCCAUGCCGUAAACGAUGUGUGUUAGACGUUGGAAAUUUAUUUUCAGUGUCGCAGCGAAAGCGAUAAACACACCGCCUGGGGAGUAC